UCAGCCAUGGCCACCUCA
rnacentral:misc_RNA from 1 species